rnacentral:rRNA from 1 species
UACGGGGGGGGCAAGCGUUGUUCGGAAUUACUGGGCGUAAAGGGCUCGUAGGCGGCCAACUAAGUCAUACGUGAAAUCCCUCGGCUUAACCGGGGAACUGCGUCUGAUACUGGAUGGCUUGAGUUCGGGAGAGGGAUGCGGAAUUCCAGGUGUAGCGGUGAAAUGCGUAGAUAUCUGGAGGAACACCGGUGGCGAAGGCGGCAACCUGGACCGAUACUGACGCUGAGGAGCGAAAGCCAGGGGAGCAAACGGG